AAAAAAUUCAGAAUUUUUAUAAGGGUGGCCACUCAAUUCCGCUCACGGAAUUCCCUGACAUUUCCCGGUUUUCCUUGACUAAAAUCAUUAUUUUUCCCUAACAUUUUGAUGCACAAUUUG